rnacentral:rRNA from 1 species
UACAGAGGGGGCAAGCGUUGUUCGGAAUUACUGGGCGUAAAGGGCGCGUAGGCGGCCUGCUAAGUCGAACGUGAAAUCCCCGGGCUCAACCCGGGAACUGCGUUCGAUACUGGCAGGCUUGAAUCCGGGAGAGGGAUGCGGAAUUCCAGGUGUAGCGGUGAAAUGCGUAGAUAUCUGGAGGAACACCGGUGGCGAAGGCGGCAUCCUGGACCGGCAUUGACGCUGAGGCGCGAAAGCCAGGGGAGCAAACGGG